AUAGGUUAAUGAGGCGAACCGGGGGAACUGAAACAUCUAAGUACCCCGAGGAAAAGAAAUCAACCGAGAUUCCCCCAGUAGCGGCGAGCGAACGGGGAGCAGCCCAGAGCCUGAAUCAGUGUGUGUGUUAGUGGAAGCGUCUGGAAAGGCGCGCGAUACAGGGUGACAGCCCCGUACACAAAAAUGCACAUGCUGUGAGCUCGAUGAGUAGGGCGGGACACGUGGUAUCCUGUCUGAAUAUGGGGGGACCAUCCUCCAAGGCUAAAUACUCCUGACUGACCGAUAGUGAACCAGUACCGUGAGGGAAAGGCGAAAAGAACCCCGGCGAGGGGAGUGAAAAAGAACCUGAAACCGU
rnacentral:rRNA from 1 species